UGGGGAAUAUUGGACAAUGGGGGGUACCCUGAUCCAGCCAUGCCGCGUGUGUGAAGAAGGCCUUAUGGUUGUAAAGCACUUUAAGCGAGGAGGAGGGUACUGGUAUUAAUACUACCAGCUACUGGACGUUACUCGCAGAAUAAGCACCGGCUAACUCUGUGCCAGCAGCCGCGGUAAUACAGAGGGUGCGAGCGUUAAUCGGAUUUACUGGGCGUAAAGCGUGCGUAGGCGGCUAAUUGAGUCGGAUGUGAAAUCCCCGAGCUUAACUUGGGAAUUGCAUUCGAUACUGGUUAGCUAGAGUGUGGGAGAGGAUGGUAGAAUUCCAGGUGUAGCGGUGAAAUGCGUAGAGAUCUGGAGGAAUACCGAUGGCGAAGGCAGCCAUCUGGCCUAACACUGACGCUGAGGUACGAAAGCAUGGGGAGCAAACAGG
rnacentral:rRNA from 1 species